ACGAACGCUGGCGGCAGGCCUCACACAUGCAAGUCGAGCGAGGACUUCGGUCCUAGCGGCGGACGGGUGAGUAACGCGUGGGAACGUGCCCUUUGCUUCGGAAUAGCCCUGGGAAACUGGGAGUAAUACCGGAUGAGCCCUUUGGGGGAAAGAUUUAUCGGCGAAGGAUCGGCCCGCGUUGGAUUAGGUAGUUGGUGGGGUAAUGGCCUACCAAGCCGACGAUCCAUAGCUGGUUUGAGAGGAUGAUCAGCCACACUGGGACUGAGACACGGCCCAGACUCCUACGGGAGGCAGCAGUGGGGAAUCUUAGACAAUGGGGGAAACCCUGAUCUAGCCAUGCCGCGUGAGCGAUGAAGGCCUUAGGGUUGUAAAGCUCUUUCAGCUGGGAAGAUAAUGACGGUACCAGCAGAAGAAGCCCCGGCUAACUCCGUG
rnacentral:rRNA from 1 species